rnacentral:misc_RNA from 1 species
CUUAACUAGGGGUAACAAGGAGCAAAACAUGGUCCAACCACACGUUCAGCUUACAGAAUUAUCCAAAGAGAACGAGCACCCACAUGUGGCUCUCCUCUUUAGUUUAGGAAGUACUCAAACUCUGCACAAAGCCAAAUGAACUGUUCCUCAACAUCAUCAUCGAUACCAAGUAACAUCAGCCAUUAACCUCUCGCUUCUACGCCAUGACCGGCAAAAUGGACAAGUUGGUUGUCUUUUUGGCAAAGAGAGAUGGCAUAGACAAGCUUGUCAAGACUUUCCAGUAUGUGUCCAAGCUCGUUCACUGGCAUGUAGAAGCUACUCACCCAGAUAUUCCACCGAGAUUCAAGCAAUGGGAAGUUGCCUCGGGCCUUAGUAGGAAAGCCUUUAGAACUGGCAGGUUUCUCACUGGCUUCAAUGCCCUGAGAACGAACCCUGGCUCAACCCCAACUUUUAAAUUCCUAGCUGUUCUAAUGCAGGAGGAAUGGUCGCUUUCUUUGGUUAUCAAGAAUUGGAACCUUGGACGCAAAAUUGGCAAGAAGGAUGAGCUUCAUCUCAGCAUUUGGUGAGUCUUUUGGCUAUAUAUUUUUCAUUAUAGCUGAUUUUAUUAUUAUCAGAGAGGGAAUAAGAGCAGAGAGAAAGCUGCUUGUUUCUUCCAAAGAAGAUUCCAAGGGAGCGAAAGACAAUAUACGAAAGAUUAGAGCAGACAGAGUGAUGAGGUUCAUGUCUAUAGCUGCGAAUACUGCAGACUUGAUUAUCGCACUGGCGGAUAUUGAGCCCAACCCAUUUUGUAAUCAUGCUGUUACUCUUGGUAUCAGUGGGUUGGUCUCUGCAUGGGCUGGUUGGUAUAGAAAUUGGCCCUCGUAGAUAAAGAUCUUAACAACAGUUGCAAUCAAAUCGUUGUGAGCUCGUGAAAGUGGAAAGGGAAGUAUUUCAUUGAUCAUGCAACCAUCGAAACUCUGCAAUUUGCAUGUGCUUUAAACUAUCCAUGACCAUAAUUAUUGUAUGAUGAAUCAACUUUACGGUUGGGUAAUUUUACUUUUAGCAUACUUUCUAGUUUUUCCCCAAUAAUAUACUUUUUUCUUGAUAUAUGUGAGGAAUUUUCUUGUCUCGUAGCAUUUUAUUGAUA